UCAAACUGUAGUCACCUCCUGCACCAAAACGUCCCAAAAAAUGUUGUGAGUGCCAUAUGAUAAUCACAUGCUCAUUUUAGCAUAAAUUCCCAUUUUUGUAAGUUGUGACAUAUGUAAGCCAACAAAUGAUGGUUAUGCACGCCAUGACUAAGCAUAUCAAUUGGUGCAUUAAGAUUUAAACCUUCUUAGAGAGGUCUAUGCUUUUCCUUCUCAUCAUCAGAGCAUUUUUUAUACACAAAUCAAGUUAACCAGACAACCAAGCCAUUGGAUUUUAAUAAGUUCCUCUAUAGUUGCUUUGUUUCUUACUGGCUUUGAAAGUUACAUGCUUAGAAUUUCUGACUAUCUUGUCAUGGUGACGUCUCAAAGAGUGUAACAGUAGUCCCUCCAAUUUGUUAUCCAAGUGUCUAUGACAAUUGCAAAAUUAUGGCUUAAGAAUGUGCAGCUCCAAGAAUACAGCUAUGGUGGCCUCACUUGUUAAUCAAAUUUCGAAUGCCGAUACAGGUUACAUAGUAAAUUAGAUCCACCAUCUCAGCUGUAUUAACUAGCAGCAGUGAUAACAGUCUAGGCAAUCAACUACACCUUUAACAAGGAAAUCCAGUUUUAACAAGAAAUCAUGUUUACAGUAGAAUGUCAAAGCCGGAGUAGUUUGACUUCAGAGUUUCUUUCUAUACUUGGGACUAGGUCCUUUCAAUUUUGUAUUAUUCUGAGAAACACAAUCCGAUGUUAACAUUUGGGAAGUAGGUGGCCCACAAGUGGUUACUGAAAGCUGUUGGCCUCUGGGUCUUUGAUUCUUUGCGUUGUUGACUUGUUGUUGGUUUCGAAGCAAGUAAAACCUGAAUUGGUCAACUUCCCUUUUAGAUCGAGCUGAUUGCAGGUUUCAUUUAAUGAUUCAAUUUUGUUCAGUUAAAUUACAAUGGUCUGUAAACAUGGGAUCACAAUUCAGUGAUCAUAAAAAACUCCAAGUUGGAUUGGUUAUACCUAAGCCAACUACGCUUGAUAGAAUUUUUAAGAUAAGUUAAGAGAAAAACCUUCUCUCAGAAGCUGCUGAAGAUUUCCUCUGGGCAUGAAGUCAUAAACAAGUGCUAGGCACUUCUUGUUUUGGCAAUAUCCUUCCAAAGUCACAAGAUUCUUGUGAUGAACUUUUGACAAGGUUUGCACCUGCAGCAACAGUUAUGGUUACCAAACAUCCUAGAGAUGAAGCCAACUGCAUUUUUUUUAAUAUGGACUGCGGAAAGGGUUUAUGAUGUCUUGCAGACAUAUAGUUUACUUUUUUAUUGAAGAAAGCAAUGAUUUGGCCUAGUUGGUUUUGUGGUAUACCUCAGGGAGGAAGUCUGUCGACUCUGCUAUUGAUGUCUCCAUAAGCACCUUAACAGCUACUUCAUCACCAUUUCCCAGUAUGCCAUGAUAAACAGUUCCGAAACCUCCUUUUCCAAUGAUUGAUUGGAAGUCUUUUGUUAUGAGCUUCAGCUCUGCGUACGUGAACCGUCUAAUGUCAAUAUGUAGCGGAGUUUCCUCUUCACACAUAGCAUAAUCUUCAUGGUCUCCUGACUUCCCUGCAGAGUCAAGAAGUUGUGUUUUACUUGAAAGCAAAGGUAUGAAACUGCUGUGUAAUGUCUACCACCCAAUACAUCGAGAAAAGAGAAUUUUAGAACGGAGAAUUUUGUUUUACCUUUCCAGCACAACUUCCAGAGUAUGCAGAUCACUACUAAGAGGGAUACCAGUCCGACAGGAACUAUCACUGUGAUGAGCAAGGUUUGUGUGGUGCUCUUCUUCUUAUUUGAACAGUAUGUAGCUUUGACUUUUGAGCAUAUGGGAUUGCCUUCUAAUCUAGUAGCACAAUUACAUGGAAAAAGUGAGCUCAAAAGGUCUUAGCUACAACAACUCUAUAAAAUUAUGGCUACAACGUGCCUCCAUUUUCUAACACAAUUAACCUGCUAAAAUUGCUUCACUGCUUCUAAACGUCUAUGCACUCUAAAAGAACAAACCGCAUGGUUUCUGAAUCACGUUCAGUUACUAAUAGGUCCUUAUCUACCUCUCAUGUUGAAAGGCCAUAGAUUAUAAAGAAUUUAAGUUACUAGAUGGUAGUACAUUAAUUGAGGCUUGUUUGGAUUAACAAUUUAACAUGAUGCACUAACAUGGCUCGACACUUUUGGUGGCUCCCAAAUUAGCCACCACAACUUCGUCAAAUUUGGCAAGGGUUUAUUAUGUACAAGGGACACUGCUCUGCAUGGUACUAGAAAAAUAUGGUGCAGCACAAGCAUGGCACUAACCAAACAGUGGCCAGAGAAAGUCAAACUUGCGCAACUCCAGUUUGACAAGUGUGGCUAGGAACUAAAUGCUUUUUAACCAUUGCAUUUGCAUUAUACGUGCAAGACUGUUGGUAAACCUUGGAAUGUUUCUAUGAUAAGUCGAUAACCAACCUUGGGUAGAGCCUAUUACUUUUUGGUGUACUUUGUUUAGUUUGUUAUAUACUUAUAUUUUUCUAUAUUCUACGAAGGAAUUGUGCAACGGGGCAUGCCAAACCUUAAGUCAAGCUGAUCAGCCUGGAAUCUUUGAAGAAUAGAAUUAGGGAUUGGUCCAUCGAGCUGAUUAUUUGACAAGUCACUGAAAAUAGUAGUUAAAUCAUUCACUAAUUUAUAUCAUCAACCAAAGAUUUAAUCAGUACGUCAACUUACAGAACUUCGAGUGACUUUAGUGGAUAGUCUGGAAUAGGUCCCAUCAAAUUGUUGUGUGAUAAAUUCCUACAUAUGUUUUGUGCUUAAGGUCACAAAAGAUGUCAACAUAAUCUCGUUUAGCACAUCGAUGUUAUGUGGUAGCCGGUAGGCACUACUUACAAGUUUUCCAGUGAUACCAUGCCCAGGAAUGACAUGGCUAAUUCACCUUCCAGUCCGCUGUUAGACAGACUCUGCAAAAGAACUCAUUUUUAGUACAAUUCAUAUUAAUUUACUGAUAGCAUUAAACUAACAUGUAGUUUGAAUAUUAUGUUAAUAUAUUCUUGUACUUCUGUUUUACACUGAAACGUUACCUGUAUUUUCAAGAUUUCAACUAGAUUGUGUGUUUUCAAGAUCUUAGCCAGUAAGACAAGUGACUGAAUGGUCAUCCAUGUAUAAAAAGAAAGAACAGAAAUCUUGAGCAUCAUGUAAACCAAAUGGGAAAUUUUUUGGAGCGUUAAACUGCUUGGGGAUGAAUUGCACUUCAAAGGAUAAAAAGAUUGAACCGCGAUGUUGAAAAUUCAAAAUAUAUAUGGUACAAGUCCUGUAAAUAUACUUACACACUGACAAUCCUCGGGUUCUGGUUGCUUUUGGAGUAGUUGCAAGUCAAUCCUUCCCAGGAAUACUCUCUUGGGGAGCAUGGGUCUCCAUUCCAGUUUAUGCGUGACAAAUUGUAGCUUCUUGAUUUCUUUCAUGUAAUUGACUACAACAGAAUAAAGACAACAUAAACAAAUAUUAAGAAAAGAACAUAAACAAAUAUUAACAUAAUAAAGAAAGCUGUUUAUGUGGCUAUGGGGCCUUAUUAUUAGUAAAUAGAAAGAUCAAAGCAAACUUAAGAAGUUGCAAAAUUAUUUUAUGCUAGUUUUAUCUUUUGAUAGAACUGAAUAAAUUUUAUUAAUUCAUUUCUCUACUAUGUUCUUGGCCGUCGCUCAUUGGCAAUUAAAGGUUUGAAGACGGCCUAGUAAGGAGUUUAGUGUGCAACUGGAUCAAUCUGUUGAUAAAUUUGUUUCUCCUGCUUCAAUGGAAGAUCCUUGCAGUGAGACCUCAGUCAUCAACAGCCUUUCAGUUCAAACAACUGAAUAAACUACAUGACGAUCAUGGGCGCCUGUCACAUAAAUGACAAAUGUGUGAUGCAGGUGCAGUAUAUAUAUUGAUCUUACCAUCAUCAGAGUCAGUGGUGAGGUUAUCCAUCCGAACGAGCGAGUACAGCUCAAAAGCGUUGAUGAGUGGUGGGAGGCUUGACUUGUUUGUCUUCUUCAGGAGGAAGGAUCCCUCGGGGUUGUGCAAGAGCCGCCCAUUCUCAUGCAUGCUGCGCAAUUCGAAUCGCGGUGGGGAGUAGUC
rnacentral:lncRNA from 1 species